UGCUGGAGACCUACAGCAACCUGAUAUUUUUGGGACAAUGCAUUGCCAAACCUGCAGUGAUCUUCAAGUUGGAGCAAGGAGGAGAUCCAUGGACAUUA